rnacentral:rRNA from 1 species
ACGAUGAGGCCCUGCUUGCAGGGUGGAUUAGUGGCGAACGGGUGAGUAACACGUGAGUAACCUGCCCCCGACUCUGGGAUAAGCCCGGGAAACUGGGUCUAAUACCGGAUAUGACUUCCUACUGCAUGGUGGGUUGUUGAAAGAUUUAUCGGUGGGGGAUGGACUCGCGGCCUAUCAGCUUGUUGGUGAGGUAAUGGCUCACCAAGGCGACRACGGGUAGCCGGCCUGAGAGGGUGACCGGCCACACUGGGACUGAGACACGGCCCAGACUCCUACGGGAGGCAGCAGUGGGGAAUAUUGCACAAUGGGCGGAAGCCUGAUGCAGCGACGCCGCGUGAGGGAUGACGGCCUUCGGGUUGUAAACCUCUUUCAGUAGGGAAGAAGCGAAAGUGACGGUACCUGCAGAAGAAGCGCCGGCUAACUACGUGCCAGCAGCCGCGGUAAUACGUAGGGCGCAAGCGUUAUCCGGAUUUAUUGGGCGUAAAGAGCUCGUAGGCGGUUUGUCGCGUCUGCCGUGAAAGUCCGAGGCUCAACCUCGGAUCUGCGGUGGGUACGGGCAGACUAGAGUGAUGUAGGGAGACUGGAAUUCCUGGUGUAGCGGUGAAAUGCGCAGAUAUCAGGGGAACACCGAUGGCGAAGGCAGGUCUCUGGGCAUUACUGACGCUGAGGAGCGAAAGCAUGGGGGAGCGACAGAUAGAUACCUGGUAGUCCAUGCGUAACGUGGCAC